UGCAAGUCGAGCGAACUGAUUAGAAGCUUGCUUCUAUGACGUUAGCGGCGGACGGGUGAGUAACACGUGGGCAACCUGCCUGUAAGACUGGGAUAACUUCGGGAAACCGAAGCUAAUACCGGAUAGGAUCUUCUCCUUCAUGGGAGAUGAUUGAAAGAUGGUUUCGGCUAUCACUUACAGAUGGGCCCGCGGUGCAUUAGCUAGUUGGUGAGGUAACGGCUCACCAAGGCAACGAUGCAUAGCCGACCUGAGAGGGUGAUCGGCCACACUGGGACUGAGACACGGCCCAGACUCCUACGGGAGGCAGCAGUAGGGAAUCUUCCGCAAUGGACGAAAGUCUGACGGAGCAACGCCGCGUGAGUGAUGAAGGCUUUCGGGUCGUAAAACUCUGUUGUUAGGGAAGAACAAGUACGAGAGUAACUGCUCGUACCUUGACGGUACCUAACCAGAAAGCCACGGCUAACUACGUGCCAGCAGCCGCGGU
rnacentral:rRNA from 1 species